AACGAUUACAGGUUUAGUAGCCUUCUCCAUUUUUCACUUUGUAUUCCUGCAAUACCCAGAACUCAAUGCCUAAAAUAACUAGUUUAAUAA
rnacentral:lncRNA from 11 species